rnacentral:misc_RNA from 1 species
UCAGAGCAAGUUCCCCGAAACUUCCACCUUCUCCUAUCGUCGUGACUAGUUCACUGUUCACAAAUAUCUCCACCUCACCUUGAUCGAUCACAUAGAAAUUAUCACCUUCAUCACCUGUGAUAAUGGAAAUAACCAGGUAGAAAAGUGACAGGGAACAUUGCGUCGAAUAUAUCCGAGCGUUCGUUCUCAUCCAAGUGGGCAAAUAGGACAUUUUUUGCAAUAGCUUUGCUCAGGGCGGCCAUGGUUUUAUAGUCCUUUGGUACAACUUUUUUGACAUAGCUCGUCGCAUCCUCUUCUGAUACUGGUUCAGCAGAAAUUCCCCCUCUUCUUCGAGGUACUUGUGGUCCUUGCUGACCGGCAGGCAUAUCCUCUGUAUCUUCUGGACUCGUCGCACUCUGCUGUUUUGCAUCGUGUGCUUGUUCCUUUGGACAUCCAAACAAAUAGGCACAGGUAUAACUUGGCUUUCGUUAAAUCCAAUUGCGCGUAUAAUCCAGUAUAAGAUUCGCGGGAGGAUUCAAACACGAAUCACCCAACGAUUGCGUGGGGGUUUGAAAUACGGAGAAUUCUUGGUGAACACCUGGGGGAUAAGUUCUCCGCGGACAACCACUCGACUCGAUAAAAUAACUCCAACUGCAAGAUUUCGCUGUUUAUUAGUCGUUGAUAUUUUUCAAUGUGUAUACCUAUACGCGCCAUCAAAUCCCCGCACUCUGAAUACAUUUACAGAAUUUGCUAUCUUUAGAAUCGCUGCAAACCGGCAGCGAAAACCGCUGAAAACAAACCGAGAACAUUGAUCACGAAAACGCCUAACAAUAUAAAACCAAUUACACGUAGGCACAAUAUUUCUCAGCAUUUAAUAUUUGCCUUCUAACGGUGUUUAAUUUUGUUUGAGCUUUGCGAUAUUUAACGAAAUCUGAGAAUUUAAAUGGAAAUAAACGGAGAUGACACCCUUCGGGUAUCAGUAAAUGAUUCCUAAUUUUUUGGUGUAUAAAUUUUCGGGACUCAUUCGAAUACACUGCUAGCUCUAGUUAGCUGUGAGUAAAAGCCUUCUAUAAUAUAAUGAUAACAUCGUCGUGUGUAACGAGAGCAUCUCUCCCUUUUACUGGGGCUAGCCGCCCUAUAUUCAAAGCUACAGUAGAAAUCGAUAUAACAAAAUGAGAAGAUCCGACGAGAAAGUGUUGAAUAAAAAUGACAAGGGGCUGGAGGGGUUGAAGAAAAUAGAAAGAGCGAUCGGCUCAGUAUAGAAAUUAUAAAAAAUGAAAAUUGAAAAAUACUCCCUCUUAGUUUGAAUCACUUUGAAUUAUGAAUUUCAUUUCAUAUCUGUUCUGAAAUUUUGGCCUAUUUUCGGGUAAACAAAUUAAAAAUAUCCUCAUUAUGACAUAAGUUAUGGCAGACGACAGAGAACAGACGACGUUCAGCUCUCGUGUCGAGAUGACGAGUUUUUUGAUUUCGGAUUGCGAUUAUUAAAUUUCUCACCCUUUCAAGCUUCUGAAAAUACUCGCGUAGGAAUGAUAUAGGAUUCUCUGGUCUACCGACGCACAGCUGAACAAUACAGUCUUUUAAAACUUGCUGGAUAUUAUGCCGUUGAACAUAUUCCUCGCACUCCCGUAAACUCUGCUCUUCUUCCAGGUUAGCCGCCAUAUUGUGGUGCCCGAAUAACCACCGUUAACCAACCAAACAAAAUAACUCGCCAAUAGCAAAGCGUCCCCAAAAAAGAUAACGCUCAAACUCAGGCCAAAGCUAGCUAAAGUCUCGAACUGCCGCGACCUCCUUUUUACUUCUAUUUACUUUUU